UGAGUGGGAGUUGGGCAGAGGGGCACUGAGGUAAACGCUGUGGGAGACUGACUGUGCUGUGAGGGGACAGCUGGCGGUGCCUGUCAGUGAGAGCAGAAUUUGAGCUGUGACCCUCUCAGGAGUCCUGGUGACGUCGGGCGUAAGGGGUCACUGAUCCGCCCAGGAGGGCAAGUAGAUGUAGAGCCCAUCGACCGAGGUCCAGUACGGAGGAAUGGCCUGCUCCAGAUUGAUAGCCGCAGGCUGCUGAGAGACUGAGAGAGGCAGAUUGUGAGACGGAGCCACUCGCCAUAUAAGGCUGCAGGAGGUCAGUUACUGCCCAGACAACUGGAGAGGUCCCUACGACUAUUGACGUGAGGAAGAACUGUUACUUGCGGAUAUCGGCUACAGACAAUAGAGUGCACUCAGUGUCAAUGACAUGCGACUGGAUAACAUUCAAGAAGUUUAUUAGACAGGAACCUGGAACACAGCGGCUUGGUGACCUUGCUCAGCUUCCAAUACCUAAAUAACGGUCCCUACGACUAUUGACGUGAGGAAGAACUGUUACUUGUGGAUAUCGGCUACAGACAAUAGAGUGCACUCAGUGUCAAUGACAUGCGACUGGAUAACAUUCAAGAAGUUUUAUUAGACAGGAACCUGGAACACAGCGGCUUGGUGACCUUGCUCAGCUUCCAAUACCUAAAUAACGGUCCCUACGACUAUUGACGUGAGGAAGAACUGUUACUUGUGGAUAUCGGCUACAGACAAUAGAGUGCACUCAGUGUCAAUGACAUGCGACUGGAUAACAUUCAAGAAGUUUUAUUAGACAGGAACCUGGAACACAGCGGCUUGGUGACCUUGCUCAGCUUCCAAUACCUAAAUAACGAUGCUAUAGUGAUUGCAGCUGCAAUUAUGCACGCUGAGGUAGUGUGAAAUUCUGCAAAAACCUAGCAGCACUGAAAAGUACAGAGACGCCCAGCGGAGCCACUCCACCAUUAACGCCCACAAAUGCUGCCGAACUGUCAAUCACUCUGCAUGAAGUGGUACAAGCGACAUAAAGAGUAUAAGAAAACAGAAGGAAGAACACUUAAUAAUCAUAAAAAGAAAACAAUUAGAGCAGAUAAAUGUUGAGGCAUCAAAACGAGGAUGACAAUACUGUACAUCAAUUAAAAAGAAAG